rnacentral:sRNA from 1 species
GCUGGGCACAGUGGCACAUGCCUGUAAUCCCAGUGGCUUGGGAGGCUGAGAUAGGAGGAUCACAAGUUCAAAGCCAUCCUCAGCAAUGGUGAGGUGCUUAACAACUCAGUAAGACCCUGUCUCUA